UUGCUGGAAAAUUGCUGGGAAGCGAGUUGCUCGGGAGAUUGUGAUCUGGGACUCGUGGAAGAAGCUGGAUGCGGGGUGAAUCGUGAUCACGGAAGCUGGGAUUUCGGGAUAGCUGGUGGCAGAGCCUUUGCUGGGAGUCGGAUGGACGCGGAUCGAAGGAUGGGGCGCGGAUGAUGCCUCGCAAGAUGCUGGAAAAGGCUGGAUUUGUGCUGUGGAUGCGGGAUCUUCGCGGAUUGCACGCGGA
rnacentral:lncRNA from 1 species